UCUCCUGACCUCUGGCUUUCAACAGAAUCACGAUGGAUAUCAUGCAAUCCUAUAACACAAUGUUUAUCUUUACUGCACUGACUUUUCUCAUCUCCAAUCAGUCUCAUUUUGGAAAUUCUUUAGCUAAAACUACAGUGAAGAUUUCUGUGAAAAAGGUCUACCAAAUGGAAGCAACAAGAAAAAUUUGGUUUAGAAAUGAGCUGCCACAAAGCACACCCCAGCUGUGGACUACUGAGUUCAGAAGAAAUUCCUCCAAUGGCUCUGCCUUCUACUAGAAAAAGACCCAAGGGCCAAUUAGUACAAUCAGCAGAAUCAAGAGAGGAUUCCUUAACUGAGAUAUUACUGUAUUGUCUGAGCCCCUUCCAUAUGAAGAUUGGCAACCGUACCUGAAGAGUUGAUGGCAGUUCUCUCAAUGGUAUGUCGUGUCAGAUCCACAACCCUAUCCACCUGGAACAUCUUAAGGUCUUCUUCAUCCAAGGCAAUGUCUCCUAAAAAGGCAGCUGUGAAAAAGAAGAGGAGUACUUAUGAGGAAGGAGACCAGUUUUGAUUGCUUGUCUAGACCUUGAAGGAAUAAAAGGAGGAUAUAUUCACCCA